rnacentral:rRNA from 1 species
UCUGGUUGAUCCUGCCAGUAGUCAUAUGCUUGUCUCAAAGAUUAAGCCAUGCAUGUCUAAGUUUAAAUAGUAUACAGUGAAACUGCGAAUGGCUCAUUAAAACAGUUAUAGUUUAUUCGAUAAUGUUUCCUAUAUGGAUAACCUGGUAAUUCUAGAGCUAAUACAUGCUGUUUGCCCGACGCAAGAAGGGCUGUAUUUAUUAGAUAUUAAACCAAUAUUCCUUGUGUCUAUUGUGAUGAAUCAUAGUAACUGAUCGAAUCUCAGCCAGUCUGAGAUAGGUCGUUCAAGUUUCUGCCCUAUCAGCUUUCGAUGGUAGUGUAUUGGACUACCAUGGCAGUCACGGGUAACGGAGAAUUAGGGUUCGAUUCCGGAGAGGGAGCCUGAGAAACGGCUACCACAUCUAAGGAAGGCAGCAGGCGCGUAAAUUACCCAAUCCUGACUCAGGGAGGUAGUGACAAGAAAUAAUAACCUGGGGACCUCAUGGUCUUACGGGAUUACAAUGAGAACAAUUUAAACGACUUAACGAGGAACAAUUAGAGGGCAAGUCUGGUGCCAGCAGCCGCGGUAAUUCCAGCUCUAAUAGUGUAUAUUAAAGUUGUUGCAGUUAAAAAGCUCGUAGUUGAAUUUCUGGCUGUGGCUAGUGUUGGCUUCGGUCAUGCUAGUUGCGGUCAUCCGUCUGCAAACUGUAUUAUUCAUCCUUCACUGGUUGGUGCAGGGAGUAGACAUUUUACCUUGAAAAAAUUAGAGUGUUUCAGGCAGGCAUUUGCCGGGAUACAUUAGCAUGGAAUAAUGGAAUAGGACUCGUCCUUUUUGUUGGUUAUAGGAUACGAGUAAUGAUUAAUAGGGACAGUUGGGGGCAUUAGUAUUUAAUUGUCAGAGGUGAAAUUCUUGGAUUUAUUAAAGACUAACUUAUGCGAAAGCAUUUGCCAAGGAUGUUUUCAUUAAUCAAGAACGAAAGUUAGGGGAUCAAAGACGAUCAGAUACCGUCCUAGUCUUAACUAUAAACUAUACCGACUCGGGAUCGGCCGGGCAUCUAACCUCGGUCGGCACCGUAUGAGAAAUCAAAGUCUUUAGGUUCUGGGGGGAGUAUGGUCGCAAGGCUGAAACUUAAAGGAAUUGACGGAAGGACACACCAGGUGUGGAGCCUGCGGCUUAAUUUGACCCAACACGGGGAAACUUACCAGGUUAAAACAUCGUUGGGAUUGACAGAUUGAGAGCUCUUUCUUGAUUCGAUGGGUGGUGGUGCAUGGCCGUUCUUAGUUGGUGGAGUGAUUUGUCUGGUUAAUUCCGUUAACGAACGAGACCUUAACCUGCUAACUAGUUCCUUGGUUAAUCACUGGGGUAACUUCUUAGAGGGACUAUGGGAUUG